AUUGAACGCUGGCGGCAUGCUUUACACAUGCAAGUCGAACGGUAACAGGCCGCAAGGUGCUGACGAGUGGCGAACGGGUGAGUAAUGCAUCGGAACGUGCCCAGUCGUGGGGGAUAACGCAGCGAAAGCUGUGCUAAUACCGCAUACGAUCUAUGGAUGAAAGCGGGGGACCGUAAGGCCUCGCGCGAUUGGAGCGGCCGAUGUCAGAUUAGCUAGUUGGUGGGGUAAAGGCCCACCAAGGCGACGAUCUGUAGCUGGUCUGAGAGGACGACCAGCCACACUGGGACUGAGACACGGCCCAGACUCCUACGGGAGGCAGCAGUGGGGAAUUUUGGACAAUGGGCGCAAGCCUGAUCCAGCAAUGCCGCGUGCAGGAAGAAGGCCUUCGGGUUGUAAACUGCUUUUGUACGGAACGAAACGGCGAGCUCUAAUACAGUUUGCUAAUGACGGUACCGUAAGAAUAAGCACCGGCUAACUACGUGCCAGCCGCCGCAGUAA
rnacentral:rRNA from 1 species